rnacentral:miRNA from 1 species
GGUCCCCAGGUGUUGUUGAACUACAACUCCCAUCACCCCUAGCUAGCAAGGCCAGAGCUCAGGGAUGAUGGGAGUUGUAGUUCAACAACAUUUGGGGACCCA